CAGCAGCAGCAGCAGCAGAAACGCGGUGUCAGGUGUUAAACGGGCAGAGCAGAGAGUAAAAAUGACGAUACUUUCUCCCCAAAUUGUUUUGAGAGUCUCCCGACAGCGAGGUCAUGAAUCAGCCUGUCCACUGGUCCUGGUCCUGUCGCCACGGAGACGGUGUGGAGGCCAUGACAGGUGCUGCUCCAGUGCGCCCCCACCUCUUCAUCAUUUAACAUUUAAUGGAAGCUGCCACCUGUCCGGACUCUCUCCUCCUCCCAUCAUCAUUCUUCUUCUCUGUGAGCGCGAGGGGAAAAAACGGCGACGUCUUCUUCUGUGGUGCAGCUCCCGCUGUUCCAGUCUAAAGGUCUCGGUCGGUCCUUGAACACAACAUGUCUCCAUUUGUUCUGAGUGGCCUGUUUCUGCUCCGGUGAGAGCGCGAGCGUCCUGACGUCAGCUGUCGCAGGUUGUUGUCGUCUCUCUGCACAGACGGCGUCCAAGGACGCGAUGGUUAGCGCUGGUGAGUCGUCUCUCUGAUGAACAACGCAAACACUUUCAAGGACCCUUGAAAAGUUCUCAGGAAACAUGCAAGUAUUUCUUCAUUAUUUGACUUUGUCCUCGUCUUACACUGAAGACACCUGCUGCCGCGAGGUCAGCGUCCGCCAUAGCCGCUAUGAGACAGACGGCAGAGACACGGAGAGAGACAAAGACACCGCAGAGAAUAAAUAAAUUGAAUAAUAACUGCUCUGUAACAUAUCAAAUGUUCAUAUAUAAACAGUAAUAGUCAUAAAACGACUCAUAGUGUUGUUGAAAAGCUCUUUUAUUUUGAAGGAUUCACACCAUGGUUGCUGGUUUUUAACGGCUUGUGUUGUGUUUUAGGAUUCAACGCCGGCCUCGUCUACAUUUUAAUGUAUUUUUGACAUUUUUAUGAGUUUUAUGUGCAACAUUCAUCUCUGUUAUUGUGUUAUUUGUGUUGAUCCUGUGAAUGAUAUGUGUUCUGUGGGCGGUUUGUUUCCCUCCGUCGUGCUGGUGUCGCUCGUCGCCUGUGAGGACAAUAAAGUAUGUUUGAUUGAUUGAUUGAUUCAGAACUAUAAACAUGAUGCUAACGCGCUGAUUAGCGCUGAACACAGUGACAGCAGUGUUUCCUUUAAAGGUCCAGUGCGUAACAUUUAGCAGAACUGGAACAUACCACUCAUUAGUAUGUUUGUGCAACUGCUUUAAGAUAAUAAAACUAAUCAUGUAUGUGCUUCCAUCUACAUCAGAGGUCAGAGGUCAGAACUGGGAGGGACGUCACCUCUGAGUUAGAAAAAAACAAGGGGUAUAAACAGCAGCUGAUUACGACUAAAGUAACACAAGUUCUCCUGUGACGGCCUCAUCACACUUUCAUGGUGUUUACUGACGUGUUUCACUGGGACUCGGGGUGUUUCAGACUCAGGGCGCCGCGUCGUGCAGAGCGGUGGAGCAGCGGUGGAGCAGCGGCGGAGCAGCGGCAGCAUCAACAUAAACUUUGUCUUUCAAAAGUAAACGUGUGGAAACGGUGACGUUUGAUUCGUCCGUUACUUCGCGCGUUUAAAUUUCGAUGGAACGCGACGUAAACGUGUGUAAAAUGGUAAAAAAACCUCCUCAGAUUUGACGACGUGAUGUGAAACAUGAUCACGCCGCGGCGCAUCAAUCGCCGCUCUGUUUUUAUUUAUUGCAGCCUUGUGUUCACUCAUGUUCUCAAUCUACAAACAGAAUUGUUACUUCCUGUUAUUGUUUCAUUUCUAUAUUUAUGUUUUUAGUAUUUACAAUAUUUAUUUUAGAACACGUAUAUAUAUACACAUACAUACACACUGCUGUACAGUAUUUACUGAGUUUUUUCACUUAAAAAGCUCACUUAAGCUUAGCUUAGCACAAGGACUGAAAAUAAAGGGAAAGUCACCGUUGUUGAAGAACUUUGAUUUUGUCGCAGGACGUAAAAGUAACGGAGGCUAACACGUUAGCGAGCUAACAGUCAGCUAAUGUCACAUUAAUGUCCGUGACAGUGAGCGUUAGCAUAGAUGAAGGACACGUUGAUCGAGACUCUUAUUGUGAAAGUUUCUGGUUUUUCCAUCAUUAAAAAGUGUGUUCGUAUGAA